AUGGCUGUGAAUGUCUUCCCUUUCGUGUCCCAGAGCACUGGAGGUGACUUUGUGGGUUCCCUGGUCCAGGCAGCGCUGACUCAGCCGCCCUCGGUGUCAGCAAACACGGGACAAACUUUCCAGAUCACCUGCUCCGGGCUUAGCAGCAGCAGCUCUGAUUAUGUUGGUUUGUACCAGCUGAAACCUGGCAGUGCCCCUGUCACUGUCGUCUAUGAGAGCAGCAACAGACCCUCAGACAUCCCUUCGCAAUUCUCCGGAUCCCAGUCUGGCUUCACAGGUUCCCUGGUCCAGGCAGCGCUGACUCAGCCGGCCUCGGUGUCAGCGAAGCUGGGACAAACCGUCCAGAUCACCUGCUCCGGGCUUUACAGCAGCAGCAACUAUGUUGGCUGGUUCCAGCAGAAGGUACCUGGCACUGCCCCUGUCACUGUGAUCUACAACAGCAACAAGAGACCCUCGGACAUCCCUUCGCGAUUCUCCAGAUCCUCGUCCGGCUCCACAGCCACGUUAACCAUCACUGGGGUCCAAGCCGAGGACGAGGCUGUCUAUUUCUGUGGUGGCGUAGACAGCAGCUAUAAUGGUGACAUGGAGUAA